rnacentral:rRNA from 1 species
CCCUUAGAUGUCCUGGGCCGCACGCGCGCUACACUGACAUGUUCAACAAGCCUCCUAGUUCGACAGGAUUUGGGAAAUCUUUGAACGCAUGUCGUGAUAGAGAUAGAUCAUUGCAAUUAUUGAUCUUGAACGAGGAAUUCCUAGUAAACGCGAGUCAUCAGCUCGCAUUGAUUACGUCCCUGCCCUUUGUACACACCGCCCGUCGCACCUACCGAUUGAAUGUUUCGGUGAAGAUUCCGGAUAGGACUUUUUCGAUUUAUUUCAAUUUUGUCUUAAAAGCUAUCUAAACCUCAACAUUUAGAGGAAGGUGAAGUCGUAACA